GCUCCAGUGGCGCAAUCGGUUAGCGCAUGGUACUUAUAAUGCCGAGGUUGUGAGUUCGAGCCUCACCUGGAGCA
rnacentral:tRNA from 2 species